rnacentral:rRNA from 1 species
CUGAGUACGGCGGAACACGUGAAAUUCCGUCGGAAUCCGGGAGGACCAUCUCCCAAGGCUAAAUACUCCCUAGUGACCGAUAGUGAACCAGUACCGUGAGGGAAAGGUGAAAAGCACCCCGGAAGGGGAGUGAAACAGUUCCUGAAACCGUGUGCCUACAAGUAGUUAGAGCCCGUUAAUGGGUGAUAGCGUGCCUUUUGUAGAAUGAACCGGCGAGUUACGAUUUGUUGCAAGGUUAAGCGGAAAAAGCGGAGCCGUAGCGAAAGCGAGUCUGAAUAGGGCGCAUAAGUAACAGGUCGUAGACCCGAAACCAGGUGAUCUACCCAUGUCCAGGAUGAAGGUAAGGUAAUACUUACUGGAGGUCCGAACCCACGCACGUUGAAAAGUGCGGGGAUGAGGUGUGGGUAGCGGAGAAAUUCCAAUCGAACUUGGAGAUAGCUGGUUCUCUCCGAAAUAGCUUUAGGGCUAGCCUCGAGGUAAAGAGUCAUGGAGGUAGAGCACUGUUUGGACUAGGGGCCCUUCUCGGGUUACCGAAUUCAGAUAAACUCCGAAUGCCAUGUACUUAUACUCGGGAGUCAGACUGCGAGUGAUAAGAUCCGUAGUCGAAAGGGAAACAGCCCAGACCACCAGUUAAGGUCCCCAAAUAUAUGUUAAGUGGAAAAGGAUGUGGGGUUGCUUAGACAACCAGGAUGUUGGCUUAGAAGCAGCCACCAUUGAAAGAGUGCGUAAUAGCUCACUGGUCGAGUGACCCCGCGCCGAAAAUGUACCGGGGCUAAACAUAUUACCGAAACUGUGGAUGAACCUCUUUAGAGGUUCGUGGUAGGAGAGCGUUCUAAGGGCGGUGAAGUCAGACCGGAAGGACUGGUGGAGCGCUUAGAAGUGAGAAUGCCGGUAUGAGUAGCGAAAGAAGGGUGAGAAUCCCUUCCACCGAAUAUCUAAGGUUUCCUGAGGAAGGCUCGUCCGCUCAGGGUUAGUCGGGACCUAAGCCGAGGCCGAUAGGCGUAGGCGAUGGACAACAGGUAGAGAUUCCUGUACCAGUGCUAAUUGUUUAACCGAUGGGGUGACACAGAAGGAUAGGGAAUCGCACGAAUGGAAAUGUGCGUCCAAGCAGUGAGUGUGAGAAGUAGGCAAAUCCGCUUCUCGCGAAGCAUGAGCUGUGAUGGGGAAGGAAAUUAAGUACGGAAGUUCCUGAUUUCACGCUGUCAAGAAAAGCCUCUAGGAAGAGUAGUACUGCCCGUACCGCAAACCGACACAGGUAGAUGAGGAGAGAAUCCUAAGGUGAGCGAGAGAACUCUCGUUAAGGAACUCGGCAAAAUGACCCCGUAACUUCGGGAGAAGGGGUGCUCUAUUAGGGUGCAAGCCCGAGAGAGCCGCAGUGAAUAGGCCCAGGCGACUGUUUAGCAAAAACACAGGUCUCUGCAAAACCGUAAGGUGACGUAUAGGGGCUGACGCCUGCCCGGUGCUGGAAGGUUAAGAGGAGUGCUUAGCUUCGGCGAAGGUACGAAUUGAAGCCCCAGUAAACGGCGGCCGUAACUAUAACGGUCCUAAGGUAGCGAAAUUCCUUGUCGGGUAAGUUCCGACCCGCACGAAAGGCGCAACGAUCUGGGCACUGUCUCAACGAGAGACUCGGUGAAAUUAUAGUACCUGUGAAGAUGCAGGUUACCCGCGACAGGACGGAAAGACCCCGUGGAGCUUUACUGCAACCUGAUAUGGAAUGUUUGUACCGCUUGUACAGGAUAGGUAGGAGCCGAAGAGACGUGUGCGCUAGCAUACGAGGAGGCAAUGGUGGGAUACUACCCUGGCUGUAUGACCAUUCUAACCCGCCACGCUUAGCGCGUGGGGAGACAGUGUCAGGUGGGCAGUUUGACUGGGGCGGUCGCCUCCUAAAGAGUAACGGAGGCGCCCAAAGGUUCCCUCAGAAUGGAUGGAAAUCAUUCGCAGAGUGUAAAGGCACAAGGGAGCUUGACUGCGAGACUGACAAGUCGAGCAGGGACGAAAGUCGGGCUUAGUGAUCCGGUGGUUCCGCAUGGAAGGGCCAUCGCUCAACGGAUAAAAGCUACCCCGGGGAUAACAGGCUUAUCUCCCCCAAGAGUCCACAUCGACGGGGAGGUUUGGCACCUCGAUGUCGGCUCGUCGCAUCCUGGGGCUGUAGUCGGUCCCAAGGGUUGGGCUGUUCGCCCAUUAAAGCGGCACGCGAGCUGGGUUCAGAACGUCGUGAGACAGUUCGGUCCCUAUCCGUCGCGGGCGCAGGAAAUUUGAGAGGAGCUGUCCUUAGUACGAGAGGACCGGGAUGGACACACCGCUGGUGUACCAGUUGUUCCGCCAGGAGCAUCGCUGGGUAGCUAUGUGUGGCAGGGAUAAACGCUGAAAGCAUCUAAGCGUGAAGCCCCCCUCAAGAUGAGAUUUCCCAUUUCUUCGGAAAGUAAGAUCCCUGAAAGAUGAUCAGGUAGAUAGGUUUGGAGUGGAAGUGUAGCGAUACAUGGAGCGGACAAAUACUAAUCGAUCGAG